rnacentral:misc_RNA from 1 species
CCGAGUUUACAACUCCCAAACCCUUUGUGAACCUUACCUAUCGUUGCUUCGGCGGGAUCGCCCCGGCGCCCUCGCGGCCCGGACCCAGGCGCCCGCCGGAGGACCCAAACUCUUAUGUCUCUUAGUGGUAUCUCUUCUGAGUUUUUUUUAUAAAUGAAUAA